GGAGACAAACGCGAUUCAAACUCAACAAAGACAAACACUACCAGGAGGAAAAGAAUAUGGUGUGUGAGAGAGAGUGAACUCAGUUGGGCUACCCCUCAAAUUUGCUGUACUGGUGUUAGAAAUGGGAUUGCGCUGCUGGGAGGCUGUUGAAUGUGUGUCACAUCGGGAUUGAGAAGCCCCAGACCGCAGUGUGCAGUUCGGUACCGGACUCAAUGUGGGCUGAGUCAAACGCGUUUAACCCGAACCCUUCCGUCUCCUUCAAGGUCACCCAAAUUGAGGUAAACGUCGAAGGUAUCAACAUCAACGAAAGCGAAUCUUAAUCGAACCUAGCCUACAUGGAUAAAAAUAUAAACCAUGGAAGAAAACAUGCAGCAAAUUAGGCAGCGGUGGUGUCUAGUUCUCCUGCAGAACUUUCCCAUGACGAUGAUGUAGAAGACGUCCCCCCCAAGAAGUCACAGCAUGUCACAUCAGCAUCCAGCUCUGCAGGAUCAGGUACUGUAUAGGCUAUUAGCUUAAUUAAGGUGCAUUAUUGUACACACAUCCCUAGAGGUUCCCUUACAUUACUUAAUGACCACAAUCUGUUUUCUGUCUAGACGAUACGGAAAACAACGCAUGACGAACUGGGAGCUGUGAACUGGGAAGCAGAUGUUCUUCUAAGGGACAGCCGAGAGGCAGCAAGGUGGUGCGAACGCCAAACAUUUAAAGGCACUGUUUCCCUCCCUAGUGUAAUUGGGAUGGACGGGGAAGACCGCAUUAAUCCUUAAAGAAGUACGGUUGUAUAAUGGCCUGGAUGAAGAGAAAUUAUACUCCUCGAGGAACCAUUCAUGUUCCAGAGAGAUUAUGACAUGUUCUAUGUGGAGGCAGUUGACAACAAGAACAUUACUGUCUUUGCCUCUUUUGAGGAGCAGGAAUGAAGCCAUUUUUGAGGAGUUGUCAAACCUUGUUUUUGUCUUCUGUGUUAAUUGUUUGAAUUGUUAAUUGUGUGUAGUAAAGAUGAUGUGGGAGUCA